rnacentral:misc_RNA from 1 species
GAUGAAGAACGUAGCGAAAUGCGAUAGGUAGUGUGAAUUGCAGAUGUAACGUGAAUCAUCGAAUCUUUGAACGCAAAUUGCACUCUCUGGUAUUCCGGGGAGUAUGCCUGUUUGAGGGUCACCAAAUCAACAUCGAAAUUCAUUUGCUUUUUGUAAAUGUUUAUCGGAUUUGAGCCGUCUUUUUUAUUUUAAUUAAAGUGGCUUAAAAUGUAAUUUUUUUGGUAUCGAAAAACGUUAUUUUACGAUCAAAUUGAUUAAAAAAACAAACGUUUUCGAAUGCCGCCUUUUUAAUGUAAUACGUUUGACUGUGAUGGUUAAUCAUAGUUUCAUUCGUAUACGAUUUUUUAAUUUUUGACCUCAAAUCAGGUAAGAACACCCGCUGAACUUAAGCAUAUCAAUAAGCGGAGGA